AUUGAACGCUGGCGGCAUGCCUUACACAUGCAAGUCGAACGGUAACGGGCCUUCGGGUGCCGACGAGUGGCGAACGGGUGAGUAAUGCAUCGGAACGUACCUUUCAGUGGGGGAUAACGUAGCGAAAGUUACGCUAAUACCGCAUAUUCUGUGAGCAGGAAAGCAGGGGAUCGCAAGACCUUGCGCUGAUUGAGCGGCCGAUGUCAGAUUAGCUAGUUGGUGAGGUAAAGGCUCACCAAAGCGACGAUCUGUAGCGGGUCUGAGAGGAUGAUCCGCCACACUGGAACUGAGACACGGUCCAGACUCCUACGGGAGGCAGCAGUGGGGAAUUUUGGACAAUGGGGGCAACCCUGAUCCAGCCAUGCCGCGUGAGUGAAGAAGGCCUCGGUUGGUAAAGG
rnacentral:rRNA from 1 species